GAUGAGAAACAAAGCCUCAAACCCUCCUUUUGCUACCACAGCGACCCGGAAAAUCGGAGCGGUUGGGUUUUCCCUUCAGCUGCGCAGCGUGCCGUCGGGAUGAAACUUUGAUUAGCGCCGAGCUCUUUGCACGCUGACGACGGGGGGGGGUCGCACAUGCACCCCUUUCGCCCUCGCUCCCCAAACCGGGGGCAGGUCUCACCCGCAGGCUGGAGCGCGGCGCUGGCGGCAGUGAGCGCGGCCCGCGGAAAGCCCCUGGAAGCCACCGCGCCCGUGUGCUGCGCGUCGCUGAGGUUCAUUAACAGAAUGCAAAACUGUAAUUAAAAAUAAUCUCCUUUUUCUUGAAGCAGCGGCAAAAGAGAAAGAAGAGGGCGACGAGCAAGGGGAGAUAAAACGAAUGCAUGAACGUGCUAAUCGCAGCUGCGGGAACGCGACGGCAAAACAAUUUGUGCUUUUGUUUUCCUCGGGCAGCGCUGCGCGAGCAGGACCCCGGCCCCGCGGCGCCUCGCGGCCGGUUUCCCCCGCCGAUGCCCGGGCAGAGGAGCGAGAUCGCGGCCGCCAGCCGCGGAGCAGCCGCGACGGCGGGGAAGAGGGGCCGGCCGGCCGGCCGCCCCCGCGGCAGCCGCUUCGCAGCGGCGGAGGAGGGACGGGUCCCGCGCGCCCCGGAGCCGCGCUGACGCCCGCUUGCUUUAUGUCGGCUGAUUUAUCUCCUCUGGUGGAGCUCUCAUUUCGCGUUGGAGAGUGUUCAAAGUAAAGCCAGCCCCGUUACAGGCUUAAUUGGACCAUAUUUCAGUGCCAGUUCAUCUGUUCAGCGUGGAUCCCUUAUCCGAGCUCCAUAAACUUUUAUUAAGUUAUAUAUCAAGGAAUAUACGUAUUGGGUGUAGAGCUAUAGUGCUGCUUACGUGUUUUCUCUGAAGCGGGAAGGCAGGAGGGAAAGUUCCCCCCCUUCUCUUUUUUCUUGUCUUGCUUUAACCAAAAGCAGCCCCCGAACGGCCGCGCUUCCAGCGGGAUUCGCGUUUCCGGCGCCGGGGAGCAAAGCCGGGGCGGAAAACCGGGCGGCCCCGCGGCAGGACGGGGGCAGGCGGCGGCCGCGCAGCGAUCCUCCCGACUUAACGACGCGUUCGCCGUAGAUCUCGCCAUUGAUUGCUGAAGUCAAGUUAAUAACAGAGUUAAUUACCAGCUAAUAAGUUUGCUGCUAAUAGCUGUAACGGAUUUUGGUGAGGGUUGUCAAAAGGGGCUGAUUGGAAGGUCUCUUGGGUAGGAUCCUCGUUACGGGAAUGGGUGUACUGAAGGCAAAUGAUCGCAAUCUUUCUUCUUUGAUGAACGGUAAAUUAUUCUAAUAUCCUUCGCUAUUGUAUUCGCUUAUUAUCCGUGGGUAAUUAGCAGUGAAGAGCUGCAAAGCUGCCUUGGCUGCAGACCACGGCAAUCGCCCAGACGCGCUCUACAGCGGGACCGAUGCCCCGAGUCCCCUGCGCAGCUCGGCGCCGGGCCGGGGGCCGAGGCCGUCGCGGCCGCGGGACGGACCUUGGCCUGCAUCCGAGUUUCUUCCGCUCUCAGCCCGGCGGAUCGAAUCCCUCGCAGGCCGCUCGCGAGCCAGAGCUGCUGGCGCCCGGCGGCCGCCGUGCUGCUGCGUGGCGUUGGCUUUGCUGCGGUCCGUUUCUCAGCAGCUCCAAGUCUCGGCCAGGACGGCGGUACCUCGGCUGACGGGCUCUCCAACGCCUCCCUCAGGAGGCUGCUGCGGAGCAGACGAAAUCUUGUUAUUAGGAAGCUUUUUCUUGACAUUAAGCCUCAAUUUUUGUCUGCUUAAUUUAUGCCAUUGGAAGGAGCCGCUGCAGGACCCACGUUCGUGAGAACUAGCGUUUCCGUGGGAAUUCUACUGGAUUAAAAAAAUCGGUUAACCUCUCUCAUCAAAACCCCAAGCAGCGCGUUCGAAGCAGAACAGUCCCUUCGCUUAUUUGCUUUUUCCACUGGGGAGACUGCUCUUCUUGCCCGUGGGACCGUCUUUGCCCCCGUCCGCGGUUGCCCCCGGGCCGCAGGCGCAGGCGGGGAGCUGGCAGGACGGAGCCGCGGGGAGCAGCCUGCCUCUGCCGCCCGGCUCCUCCGGAACGGCUUGCUUUGGGAAUUCCCAGAGCAGAGCGGGCUCGCCGAGUGCUCCCUCCCCGCACGGAGGCACAAGCGCUGCUUCACCGAUCCCCUCGAACCCUCUGAACUCGUCGGAGGAGCCGCCAGCGCCAGGAGGGAGCCGCUCGGCGGCAGGUCGCUCCCGUUCGCUGGAGCUGUGCCAGGAGGCAGGAAAAUCCCCGCUGGAGACACGUCCUUGCGGAAACCGCCUCGCUCCUGGCACGCCGCCGGGGACGGCGGAGGGGGAUCCGGCCGGGCUUGGGCUCUGCCGCUGCCCCAGCACCUCCAGCACGUCCCGCGCGCGCCGGAGCCCCCGGCAAGCAGGUGACACUCUCUGAAUGUCAUUUAAAGUUCACUUUCAUUAUUUUAAUUGUCACUGUAAAAAAUCCCCCGUUCAGGCCUGAUUACGCUGAAAGAGAAGUCAGGACUCAAAUCGCAAUCAGUCAGGCCCGGCAGCGCGGCUGCUCUGGCUCGUGACGCGGCGCCCGAGCUGCGAUCAAGGAGCGGCAUCAGCGAGCGCUGAAAAGCUGCCGGGCGCCUCGGGCGCGCAGGGUUAGCGCCGCGCCGCGCUUCGCCGGCCGCCGCGAUUUCGCCCGAUGCUUCGAGCCCCGGACGAGGCGCGGGACGGAGGGUUUUCGGGCGCACGCGCGAAGCCUCUGGGCAGCGUUUUUAGCUUGAGGCAAGUUUCUAGACGAAAGGCGCUUUCCACCGAGCUGCCAGGGAGCAAGAGCCGCAGCAGGAUGCCAGUCCUUUCAUGCAAAUAAUUAAGGGGGGAAAAAAGGAUGGUUCAUAAGAUGCCUGAAGAGUGUAACCUUCCAGACAAACCAAUUUACAAAAAGAUAGAGCCAGUGGGAUCAGGCAAUAACUUAAUAAGCAUCCCUGAAAAAACAAUGCAUUUAAGAACAUGGCUUGUUUUUUUUUUUUUUUCCCUAAUGGAGAAACAUCAGCUCUGUGGGGAAAUAAAUGUAAUAAACUAAGUCCAAUCUCCACAAACAUUUGUUUUCUUAUCUCUGUAAAAUCAAUAUACAUGUUGCAAUUAUGUCCUCCGAUGAAUCCCCAAACUUUUGAUUCUCUCUCAAGGCUUCCUGCUCGAUUCCAGUUCAUCACGUCUCCCUUUCUUCAUCUAGAUAAAUUUAUUUUUUUGCAUUUCUAAGACCAAGUCAUAUAUUUCUCAAAAGGUUUCAUUACUCUUUCCUUACAUCAGGGUGAGGAGAAGAGUGCUUCCCUCAGCUUUAAUCUAAUCAAAUGCGGGAUGCUCUAUAAAUAAAUAAAUUUGGGGAGCAACCACCCGGGAAUAUCCAUUA